rnacentral:lncRNA from 12 species
UUACCAUCAGGGGACAACACUCAGAAGAGAAUGCUGAGGGCCACAAAGUCACCUCAGCUCUGCAGAGCCCCAAGUGCCCUUGGUUUCAAAGCAGCUGAGUCACUUGUGAGUCAUCCAAAGCCUGAAGCAGAGCAGGGAGCUGUUCUUAGAGCCAAGUUUUCCCAACUCCCUUUGCCCUUCAGCAUCUUUUCCUGCCCGUUCUGUUACUCUGGUGAUCUCAAAGGCUGGAGAGGCUCCAAUCCCUCCUGCAGCUGCAGGUGAGUGAAAGGUGGGCUCUGCAGCAGGGGAAUCCCUGUUCAACCACACCCAGGCAGCGCUGUGUGUGUG